rnacentral:piRNA from 2 species
UAGUCCCACAUACCUCAGAACCAGUUU